AACGAACGCUGGCGGCAGGCCUAACACAUGCAAGUCGAACGAGAAGCCACCUUCGGGUGGUGGACAGUGGCAGACGGGUGAGUAACGCGUGGGAACGUGCCCAAAGGUACGGAACAACUCCGGGAAACUGGAGCUAAUACCGUAUGUGCCCGCAAGGGGAAAGAUUUAUCGCCUUUGGAUCGGCCCGCGUCGGAUUAGCUAGUUGGUGGGGUAAAAGCCUACCAAGGCGACGAUCCGUAGCUGGUCUGAGAGGAUGAUCAGCCACACUGGGACUGAGACACGGCCCAGACUCCUACGGGAGGCAGCAGUGGGGAAUAUUGCACAAUGGGCGAAAGCCUGAUGCAGCCAUGCCGCGUGGGUGAAGAAGGCCUUAGGGUUGUAAACCCCUUUCAGCGGGGAAGAUAAUGACGGUACCCGCAGAAGAAGUCCCGGCUAACUCCGUGCCAGCCGCCGCCGUAACAC
rnacentral:rRNA from 1 species